rnacentral:rRNA from 1 species
UACGGAGGGUGCAAGCGUUAUCCGGAUUUAUUGGGUUUAAAGGGAGCGUAGGCCGGAGAUUAAGCGUGUUGUGAAAUGUAGGAGCUCAACUUCUGCACUGCAGCGCGAACUGGUUUCCUUGAGUACGCACAAAGUGGGCGGAAUUCGUGGUGUAGCGGUGAAAUGCUUAGAUAUCACGAAGAGCUCCGAUUGCGAAGGCAGCUCACUGGAGCGCAACUGACGCUGAAGCUCGAAAGUGCGGGUAUCGAACAGG